AUGCAAUGAUGACAUCUUAGGACACCUUUGGAGGUUGCGACCAAUGAAACGAAUUCUUGGACUGAGUAUG